rnacentral:tmRNA from 1 species
GGGGAUGAAAGGUUUCGACGGAGGUGGAUAGUCGCAAGCUGCAAGCCGAGAGCCGCCGACCUCGCAAAAUCAGCGGAACCAAAAAGUGCCAAAAGCACAGACUUUGCAGCGCUGCCGGUUGCUGCCUAGCAGCCAUCGAUAGCCUGCGGUCCUUGACAAAAGGACCCGCCACCCUGCGCAGCGCCCGACCGGCGUAGGUCAUGGCGUCAGAAUGGACGGGCUGCGGUUGAGGGAAGCUGCGACCUCAGCCUAAGAGGGGCCUUUGGGUCUCAGCAGCUGGCCAUCCGAAGGUUCUGUCGCUCGUACCUCGGAUGGCGAGACACAACGAUCGACUAAGCUUGUAGAUGCUUGUAGACCGAAGCUUUCGGACGCGGGUUCGAUUCCCGCCAUCUCCACCA